GCCUAACCGUAAAAUUUAMACCCACACCUACAAACGCCAGGGUACUACGAGCCUAGCUUAAAACCCAAAGGACUUGACGGUGUCCCACCCAACUAGAGGAGCCUGUUCUAUAAUCGAUGAUCCACGAUAUACCAAACCAUUUCUCGCCAUUCAGCCUGUAUACCUCCGUCGCAAGCUUACCGUAUGAACGUACACUAGUAGGCCAAAGGAUCCUAACAUCAUAACGUCAGGUCAAGGUGCAGCUAAUGAAAUGGAAGCGAUGGGCUACAAUUUCUAAAUUAGAACAAACGAAACACUACAUGAAACAUAGUCAUGAAGGCGGAUUUAGCAGUAAGUAGGAAAUAGAGAGUCCUACUAAACAUGGCCCUGGGAUGUGUACAAACCGCCCGUCACCCUCUUCGAUAGUUUUAAUAUAGUUUAUAACACAUCAAUACGCCUUAGAAGAGGCAAGUCGUAACAUGGUAAGUAUACUGGAAAGUGUACUUGGAAUAACAAAAUGUAGCUUAACUAAAGCCUUUCGCUUACACCGAAAAAAUAUAUGUGAAACCCCAGAUCAUUUUGA
rnacentral:rRNA from 1 species